UCUCCUCACCACCUCCGCCUUCCGCCGCCUCCUCCCUCUCCUCACCACCUCCGCCUCCCGCGGCCUUCCUCCUCCAUCUCCUCACCACCUCCGCCUCCCGCCGCCCUCAGCCCUCUCCUCACCGCCGAUUGCCGAACUGCACCCAGAAUGGAUUUGUUUUCUUGUAUGUUGGAAGUGGAUGUUGAUGUUGAUGAGUGGUGGUGGUGACGGUGUAGUGGUGGUGGUGACGGUGGAGGUGCAGCGGUGGUGGGUGUUGUGGAGAUGA
rnacentral:lncRNA from 1 species